rnacentral:rRNA from 1 species
UACGUAGGGGGCAAGCGUUAUCCGGAUUUACUGGGUGUAAAGGGAGCGUAGGUGGUUUAAUAAGUCAGGUGUGAAAGCCCGGGGCUCAACUCCGGGAUUGCAUUUGAAACUAUUAGACUAGAGUGCAGGAGAGGUAAGUGGAAUUCCUAGUGUAGCGGUGAAAUGCGUAGAUAUUAGGAGGAACACCAGUGGCGAAGGCGGCUUACUGGACUGUAACUGACACUGAGGCUCGAAAGCGUGGGGAGCAAAC